CUCCUUGUUGCUGGGGUUGUAACUGUUGCACCCUAGGGAUUGUACUUCACAAAAGACAGGGUCUGAGUGCAGUUGCUGGAGAAGGGUCUCGAUGGACCACAUGCACUACGCUCGCUGGAGACUGCCCGUGUCAGAAGCUGCUGUAGUAGAAGGUGAUUGCUGAGAAAAGCCAGUGCCACACUUGUUGCCGCUGCCUACAUCUAGAACCCGUGCCUGCCGUUUGCAUUGAGGAUGCCUCCCUUCCCCUAUCUCUCUUCAGAGUGAUUCCUUAAACCCUUUAUUUUCUUUACUAUUGGGUGUGACUAAUUUGAGUGUAUUGAGUGCAAUAAGCCAAGUGAUUUUAGCCUCUUAUACAAUUGGCUCAUGACAUGUUUUAUGACUUCUCAAUCCCACCAUUCUUCCCUGGCCUUGUUGCUUUGGCUUGUGGAAAACACCCGCACACAGUAAGGAACUAUAAUAUGUGCUGGGUGGGCGACUUAAUUUAUGUGUCUUACCCCUGAACCCAGUUAACGCAGAUGCAGGGGUAGUCUAAAAUCACCGAAUCAUGGAGUAUUAGAGCUGGAAGGGACCUUUAAAGGACAUCUAGUCCAACCCUCAGAAUUAACUGACUAAGGAACUAACAUCUGGAGAAGUGAAGUAAUUCUCCCAAGUGUAUAGAUGGUUGUGUUAUAGUCGAAUUCCAUUACAUACCCCUGGAAUAACUAGCCCUGUAGAGACUCAGGUGCACCAUAAGCUCAUAGAAGGCAGGUAUGACUUCUUAGAUUCUUUUUCAUCCUCCUUGCACUCUAGCUCCUGUCCCCGCCCCUCACCCUCACCCCCAAUCACUUAGAGAGUAAAUGAGUGACUGCAUAUCUUCAUUGCCUGAUGUAUACACUUUUGUAUACAUACAAACAGGGAAAAAGACACAUACCAAAGGCACAUGCAUAGUUUCCCCUCCAGCCCCCACCCUCUGGGAACCACUAACCCAUCUUCUCUCCAUAUGGAUUUGCCUAUUCUGGACAUUUCAUAUAAAUGAAACCAUACAAAGAGAGGUCCACAUACCAUAUGUCUAAAUACUGAAACAUUUAAAAUCAGCCUAGCAAACUGUUAAAAUGUUUUAUCUUCUUGCCUUGACAAAUACACCGUCACAAAGAGGGUCACGUUCCAAUUUAGAAUCCUCAGACUUCUUGGAAUGCUGUUGGGAGAGGUGGCAGUGUGGAGAGAGCUACCUCCAGUGCUCACUCAACCCACGCCCUUCUCUUCUCAGCCCAUCUCUUCUCUUCUCCAUCCCGCACCAUGAGGGGCUCUGCGUGUGCGUGGCCGCCCAGCCCCCAAGUGCAAGGGUAGUCACCCGCUCUCCUGUGAGCAGUCGCCCCCAGUAGCCCUAAAGGGAGGACACACGCUGGGAAGAGACUGGCUCAGAUGGUCCCGAUCUGAGCUUGGAGUGAUGUUUUGGAGUCCCCGUUGCUCCAAUUUAGCCCUGAUGCACAGUGAUACUUACGGCUGGUCCUUGGAAACCACCUGUCAAUCACCAGGGCCAUGACUUGCUAAGGGAAUAUGAAAGACAUUUCACAAAGAUUCUACCUUACCAUCAAAAAGAAUGUUUUAAAAACCAAACUUUAUCCCACUCCCUUGCAGUGAGUUAUGGGCUC